UACGUAGGGGGGCAAGCGUUGUCCGGAUUUAUUGGGCGUAAAGAGCGUGUAGGCGGUUUGGUAGGUCCGCUGUGAAAACUCGAGGCUCAACCUCGAGACGCCGGUGGAAACCAUCAGACUAGAGUCCGGAAGAGGAGAGUGGAAUUCCGUGGUGUAGCGGUGAAAUGCGCAGAUAUCAGGAAGAACACCCGUGGCUAAGGCGGCUCUCUAGUACGGUACUGACGCUGAGACGCGAAAGCGUGGGGAGCGAACAGG
rnacentral:rRNA from 1 species